AGAGUUUGAUCAUGGCUCAGGAUGAACGCUGGCGGCGUGCUUAACACAUGCAAGUCGAACGAGGAAUACUGAUGAAGUUUUCGGAUGGAAUCGGUAUUCCGAGUGGCGGGCGGGUGAGUAACGCGUGGGUAACCUGCCCUGUACAGGGGGAUAACAGUUGGAAAUGAUUGUUAAUACCGCAUAAGACCACAGUGCCGCAUGGCACAGGGGUAAAAACUCCGGUGGUACAGGAUGGACCCGCGUCCAAUUAGCUAGUUGGUGAGGUAACGGCCCACCAAGGCGACGAUUGGUAGCCGAUCUGAGAGGAUGACCGGCCACAUUGGGACUGAGACACGGCCCAAACUCUUACGGGAGGCAGCAGUGGGGAAUAUUGCACAAUGGGGGAAACCCUGAUGCAGCGACGCCGCGUGAGUGAUGAAGUAUUUCGGUAUGUAAAGCUCUAUCAGCAGGGAAGAAGAUGACGGUACCUGAGUAAGAAGCCCCGGCUAACUACGUGCCAGCAGCCGCGGUAAUACGUAGGGGGCAAGCGUUAUCCGGAUUUACUGGGUGUAAAGGGAGCGCAGACGGCCACACAAGUCUGAAGUGAAACUCCACGGCUUAACCGUGGAACUGCUUUGGAAACUGUGCGGCUAGAGUGCUGGAGAGGUAAGCGGAAUUCCCAGUGUAGCGGUGAAAUGCGUAGAUAUUGGGAAAGAACACCGGUGGCGAAGGCGGCUUUACUGGACAGUAACUGAACGUUCAUGCUCGAAGGCGUGGGGGAGCAAACAGGAUUAGAUACCCUGGUARGUCCCACGCGGUAAACGAUGAAAACUAGGUGUUGGCAUCCAAAGGAUGUCGGUGCCGUCGCAAACGCAUUAAGUAUUCCACCUGGGGAGUACGUUCGCAAGAAUGAAACUCAAAGGAAUUGACGGGGACCCGCACAAGCAGUGGAGCAUGUGGUUUAAUUCGAAGCAACGCGAAGAACCUUACCAAGUCUUGACAUCCCUCUGACCGGCGAGUAACGUCGCCUUUCCUUCGGGACAGGGGAGACAGGUGGUGUAUGGUUGUCGUCAGCUCGUGUCGUGAGAUGUUGGGUUAAGUCCCGCAACGAGCGCAACCCUUAUGGCCAGUAGCCAGCAUGUUAUGAUGGGCACUCUGGCAAGAUUGCCCGGGAUAACCGGGAGGAAGGUGGGGAUGACGUCAAAUCAUUAUGCCCCUUAUGAUUUGGGCAACAUAUGUGCUACAAUGGCGUAACAGAGAGAAGCGAUCCCGUGAGGGGGAGCAAAUCUUCAAAUAACGUCUCAGUUCGGACUGCAGUCUGCAAUUCGACUGCACGAAGUUGGAAUUGCUAGUAAUCGCGAAUCAGCAUGUCGCGGUGAAUACGUUCCCGGGUCUUGUACACACCGCCCGUCACACCAUGGGAGUCAGCAACGCCCGAAGUCAGUGACCCAACCUUUCAGGAGGGAGCUGCCGAAGGCGGGGCGGAUAACUGGGGUGAAGUCGUAACAAGGUAACCGUA
rnacentral:rRNA from 1 species